rnacentral:lncRNA from 1 species
UUAUAAUCUCCAUUACAAUAUCAUUGAAACUUCUUUCAAUGGAUUGAAAUAAUUUCAACUCUGUCUUUCGAGGGUCAUCGAUCAUCAAGACGAUGCCUGAUGAGUUUCACAAUCUAUCAGUGAUACCUAGCAGUAUGUUGUGGCAAUCCAGUAGAAUGAAAGUAUGAACCUCUAGGUUUAGUUAUCGUUUGAUUCAGUCUUUCUAUCAUGAGUCCCAACUUAAUGAAGGUGAUGAAAAAUUUAUCAGAUCCCAUCGUUAGUCAUAUGCA